GGGGCGAUGGCGGCGUGCGGCGGGGACGGCCCGGGCUGAGCGGUGCGGCGGCCGGGCUCACGCCGGCAGGUUGAUUCCACUUCAGGAUAAUGGCAGGAAAAGUAAAGUGGGUAACUGACAUAGAAAAAUCUGUUCUAAUAAACAACUUCGAAAAAAGAGGGUGGAUUCAGGUGGCAGAAAAUGAAGACUGGAAUUUUUAUUGGAUGAGCGUCCAAACAAUAAGAAAUGUGUUCAGUGUGGAAACCGGUUACCGCCUCUCUGAUGACCAAAUUGUCAAUCAUUUCCCAAACCACUAUGAACUGACCAGAAAAGAUUUGAUGGUAAAGAAUAUUAAGAGAUACAGAAAAGAACUUGAGAAAGAGGGAAGUCCUCUUGCAGAAAAGGAUGAAAAUGGGAAAUAUAUUUAUUUGGAUUUUGUUCCUGUGACUUUUAUGCUUCCUGCUGAUUAUAAUCUCUUUGUUGAAGAAUUCAGAAAGAAUCCCUCCAGCACAUGGAUUAUGAAACCUUGUGGCAAAGCUCAAGGAAAAGGAAUAUUUCUAAUCAACAAACUCUCCCAAAUAAAAAAAUGGUCUCGAGACAGCAAAACAUCUUCGUUUGUGUCUCAGUCUUCCAAAGAAGCCUAUGUGAUUUCACUCUACAUCAACAAUCCCUUACUAAUUGGUGGAAAGAAAUUUGAUCUUCGUCUUUAUGUUUUGGUGUCUACCUAUCGUCCACUGAGAUGUUACAUGUAUAAGCUUGGGUUUUGCCGCUUUUGCACAGUGAAAUACACACCAAGUACAAGUGAACUGGAUAACAUGUUUGUACAUCUUACAAAUGUUGCCAUUCAGAAACAUGGGGAUGAUUACAACCAUAUCCAUGGAGGCAAGUGGACAGUGAGUAACUUACGCUUGUACCUGGAGAGCACCCGUGGAAAGGAAGUCACCAACAAAUUAUUUGAUGAAAUUCACUGGAUCAUUGUGCAGUCCCUGAAGGCUGUUGCGCCUGUAAUGAAUAAUGAUAAACACUGCUUUGAGUGUUAUGGAUAUGACAUUAUCAUUGAUGACAAGCUUAAACCCUGGCUAAUUGAGGUUAAUGCUUCCCCUUCUCUUACUUCCAGCACUGCUAAUGAUCGCAUCUUGAAGUAUAAUCUUAUUAAUGACACGCUUAAUAUUGCUGUGCCUAACGGGGAAAUUCCUGACUGCAAAUGGAAUAAAACUCCACCAAACGAGGUUCUGGGCAAUUAUGAAGUCUUAUAUGAUGAAGAGAUGGCGCAGAGCGACGGGACUGAUCGUGACCUGCGGGGUCGUCCUGGGCAGUCCUCGGGGCUCAAAGGAAGCCGUGCAAGAGAUUCAGGAAAGCUUGUUGUAGCCACCUGGAAGUGAUGACAGAAAAACAGCUACACUUUUGCUUUGAAUCUUCUCACUGGCCCCUACAAUUCUAGUUGACUCUUGAAAUAAAUAAGUGAAAGACAGGUAACAUAACAAGGGCACUGUGAUAGAAGAAAAAUGAAGCUUUCUGUCAGUGCUUGUGAGUAAUUUCUGUAGUGGCUGGGACAGAGGAUGUGUUGUUGUAGUAUUCUUGUAUUGCAACAGUAGCACUCUGUUCUGGGUUUUUAGGAUUUAUUGCUGUGGAAGGCUGUGGAGGCUGAAUCCAGGGGAUACUUCUAGGUGUAAUUUCACAAUGACCCAAUAACCAUAAUAGCAUCUAAAUAAUCUUUGUUUUCCAAACUGGUUUGUUGGUGGUACUCUGUAUGGGCAGUGGUGUUAUUACAUGUAAGCUGUGAGUUGAAUCAGGGCCUCCAGAGCACAGACAUUAACAACACAAACUAGUAAUGGCACUUUCUGUAAUAUUAUUAAUAUACGUGUAAUAUACUGAAUAUAUUAGCAUGUAGUAUGCUAAUAUACUGGAUAUUCUUAUGUAAUUAUUUAGAGGGUUUCUGCUGGCUUAGAAAGGGUCAGCUCAUUUAAGCUUGCAUCCUCACUAUUCAAUAUUUCAAAAGUCGGGACUGGAAAGCUUGCUGUUGCUUUCAAAGAUUUCUGUCCCAGUGUAUAGCAGAUACAUUAAGUAAAAUAAACUAUUUGUAAGGAAGUAUUUUAUAUGGAAAAUGUUUUUGUAGCAGACCUGUCAGUUCUAAACAUGUAAAUUCUUCUCUCUGACCCGGUGUAGUAUUGGGAAAGCAUAUUUCAAACACUUGAGGAUGGAACAUCUUUGUAAAAUAGCUAGUAAAUUAUCAGUACUACCUCAAAAUAAAAGCAUUGAAAUAUUACUAACUAGGGGGGAAAAGGAAAAUAAAAACCUGAUAGGAAUCUUUGACUAUGUAGUAAAUAAUCUCAGAACUAGAAUUAAGGUUUCAAAUGUUGAUACCACAUUUUAGUUAUAUCUCCAACUAAUGUAUUACUAGUAAUUUAUCUUGCUGACCCAAACAUGAAUUUAAUCAUGCAAUAUUCUCUUUAAAGAACAAGAAUUCAAAGACAUUGCAAAUGCAGUGACCCUCUCUUCCUGAUCUCAUUUCAUUUUCUUUUUAAAAACAAUAGUCUAGUGAUUUUAUACAUCAGACUGUUUUCACCUCAUUUCAUUUUCCUGACAGGCUUUUUGCAGAGGUUGACAUUUGAAGGCCUAAUUAUAUUUUCACUUCUAACAUUAAAAACAUAUGUAUGUAAAAGGAGUUUAAGGAGCAAAACUGAAAUAACAUGGAAUUCUAAUAUACCAAGAUUGGUUUUCUGGUUAUCAGUACUAAACUGUCCUGGUUUCAACUGGGAUAAUUUCUUCUCAGUACUGUGUUUUGUGUUUGGAAUAAGAGUGGUAUUGAUAAGUCACUGAUGUUUUGGGUUUUUACUAAGUUGUGUUUAUCCUAAGUCCAGGACUAUUUUUUUGUCUUGUCUCCUGCUCUGCCAGUGAGGAGGUGCACAAAAGGAAGAGAGAAGGAGCACAGCUGGGACAAGUGAACUGAACUGGCUAGGAUAUUCCAUACCGUGGAAUGUCAUGGCCAGUCUCUGAACUGGGGGAGUUAGUCAACAGGUCUGAUUUUGGUUUGAGAAGGGGGGUCUGCAGAUGGUAAGCAGUUGUAUUGUGCAUCACUUGUGAUUUUUUUCAUUAUUAUUAUCAUUAUUAUUACUAUUACUACUACUACCCAUUAUUAUUGCAUUUUAUUUUACUUCUAAUUAUUAAACUGUUCCUAUCUCAACAUACAAGUUCUACUUCAAUUCUCCUCCUCAUUCCACCAGUGUGGGAAGGGGAAGAGAGAGAGCUAAGUGAGUGGCUGGGUGGUGUUUCAUCUCCAGUUGGGCUUAAAACCACAACACAUGCUCCAGAAAAAAAUCUGUAAGUGAGCAGAAAUUCUUCCUUUUCUAUGGAGAACUUGAGGCCUUGUGUACGUCAGUGAAAUGUUCUUGAGAAAUUCAAAAUUAGGAAGCUCUGUUGCUGUGUGAUGUCUGUUUUUAAGGCUCAUUGAAAAAUUGUCAGAAGGAAUUUGAGUAAGGAAAGAAUCAGUGUUAGCUGGAAUGAGUGUGCAUAAAGAAGCUUUUCUGCAGACUUGGAGGGUGCCAAGGAAACAAAAGCAGUCAUAGCUAAUAGUUCUGUGGGAGGAGGAAGAGGAUGAUACGUGGAUAUUAUGCUGUGAGAUGCUGGUUUGUGCCUGGUCUUGAAAGGUAAAGGUGAAAAUGAAGUUAGGAGGAAGAGAAGCUGAAAGGGAAAAACUUCAGUUGCUUACUCAGAGGUAAAAUCUUCACAUUUUCCCUUCUGCAUCUUUAACUAAAUCUCUUGCUGUAGUAGGAUAGGACUAAUGGUACCAAGUGGUGCCCAGGCUGGUGAGAGCCUGGAGCAUGCUCUGCUAAGAGCUGGAACUGAGGUGAUGAGGGAGAUGCAUUUCCUGCUUGAGGCAGGUGUCUGCUGCAGGAGUUCAGGGGAAUUGACUUACAGGAGUGAUGCUGACAUGUGUAAUAAAAGAUGACAAACCUCAUGUGGAUGCUCUCAUUCAGAGGUAAGGUAGCUCUUUUUGCUGGAGCCUGAUUCUCCGAAAGAUUAAAACCUGUUUCAGCUCUGACUGAGAGGACUUAAAUCUGAGUUACUGCGAGCAGAUAAGCUCUUAGUUCUGAGUAAUUAACUGCAGCCUUGGGCCAGUCAUCCUCCAAAUGUAUCUCACAAAGAAACUGUUUUGGCUUUCAGGGGAGCAAAAUAAAUCGGAAAUAACGGUUCUCAAAAGUUCUGACUUUAGCUAGUAUAAUAACUUGCCAGGCAGAGCUGAUAAUAAAUGUGUGUCUCAGUCCUAAAAUACUGUUCUUCAUAUGCUCCAGUAUGAAGCAUAAGGACAGUAUUGUAUGAAGAAUUAAAUGGACAAGCUCUAAACAGCUACACAAAUUGUUAUAAUGGCAUCAGUGUAGAAGGAGUUUAUUGUUAGAGUUGAACAGUGGGGCUUGCUUCCUGGACACUAACCUUUCUCCCUAUUAAUUCUUUGACAUGGAAGAAAUUAAUAAGAUUCCCAGAGAAUAGCUUCUGUACAUGGCUUGAGGAACUUAAUUAGUAUAAAAGAAACAGUAUAUUCCUAAAGCUACUUUGUUACUGUUGGCUUUACAAUAGGACUUCUGCCUAAAAUGUCCCUGGCUCCUGAUUCACUUCCUGCUAUAAACUCAGCAAAACAGCAGACAAUUCACAGAAGAUAUAUAGCCCUGCAUUUCAUCAGCAGCACGUCAGGCAGAGAGCUCAUUUAUCUGUGGUAAAGGAAGGGCUUUACUGUGGCACUAUAAACUGGUGCUGUUGCUCAAGCAGUUGCUGUUCCGUUGACUUGGAUGGAAAUUACAGAAGGGAGCUGACAUUCCGUGCCUGCUUUAUGACAGGAGUUCACUCCAGCCUUUGGGUCAGUGGGAAGGACUCUGUUCCCCGUGGUGCAGAGGUAUCCAUUUUUGCUGACCUGUGUGGCUUCUUAAAAAAAAAAAAAAAAAAGCCAACAAAACAAACAGAAACUUUUUUCCUGUCUUCUCUGCAGAAAACAAAUGCGGAUAGCUGGGAAAAGCUUACUUUAGCCACAAUUUUGUUUAAAAUUCCAUUAUUAAGAGGAAAUAGGAUCAUAAAUUAAUAUCUUAGAAAAAAUGGGUUUUUUUAUUCUGAACUGUGUGGGCUAGACACUAUGUUUUUCCACCUUUUUUAAGUUGCCUAGGCAAGCUCUCCAGACUUGAACUUUCCCAGGAAUGACGAUCACAUAGAUACCUUUGCUAUUGACAGAAAGUCUUCUAUGCCUUAAUUAUUCUGCAAUUUUGUACCUAUUAAAAGCAAAUAAUUCACAUCCAAGGUAGUCAUAGACAAUUGUUGUAAAAUAGAAAAGUUUGGACAGUAUGAAACAGUAAUUAAAAACACUUUUGAAAAACAAGGAGACAACAAAAAGUACUUCAGACAAUUACAUGGCUUUUACUUGAAAGGUUCUUUCCCAGUGAAAGCUGGGCAGUAAAACAGUGAAAUUGAUUUGAGUGGAAUUAAAUUUAAUAAUCUGAAAUUCGUUGUCAUUGGGCAGUGUAUAUAGUCAGUAACAUCAUUAUAUUUGCAAUCAAAAUAUGGUUCAGGAUUUAAAUUUACAUUUGAAGUGUAAAUAAAGAUUAUAACACAUGGAGUUUCUUAGCAAGAGAGAAGGAGUUUGAAGAGAAUUCUGAAAUGUUAUGGCAGCAGUCAAGAAACACAAAAUUGCUUCUGAGUGAAGGCAAGAGACAGAAUUUCUUUAUAGAGAAAGUACUAGUGCCUAAAACAACACAUGGAAUUUCUGAGGACAGCAGAAGAAACAAGAAGCAUAUUUAAAAAUAGAUUGUGUUAAAAGUAAAAAUAACCGUGGGAUACUUAUCUAAAAUGAGAGGAUUUUUUUCCCCCCACAAACUUCCUGUCCUGUUCCUUACAGUCUGAAUCAAGUGCUCACCAGAGGGGCUGGAGAGACUGUCAGCUGUUCUUCUCAGGAAAAAUAUUAAGUUAAUCUUUCACUGGAUGUCACAUGCUUACUGAACUGAAUAUGUACAGAGAACAACUGCUUUUUAAUACCUAGGAAAAAAACAUCAAAGUACCAAAAUCAAAAUUAUUAAUAUGGUGGAGUGUGAUUCUCUACAUAAGUAAAUUAUUUAUGGCAUCAUAAUAGUGUCAUCUUGCUGGGAUCUUGCAUCGCUGAUGAUAGAUAAAAUUAGACCACUAAUCUCUUUUAAUUUACUAUGAGAAAAAUGUAAUCUUUAAAUGUACAUAAAGCAAAUUUACAUUUGAUAAAUUGAAAGAAAUUGUACUUUAUUAACCUUUGAGGUGUAUUUUCCCAAUCAGUUUUUCAAGUUCAUAUAUGUAUUUAUUCAGCGCAUGUAGCCUCAAGUCCUGUAUAUAUUUAUACAGACAUUAAACUGUUACUAUAAGUAAUGCA